ACUUGGACAAGGCGGCUGGCGGUAACGCAAGCGAGCCCGGAGACAUCGGCAUCGGCCCUGGGAAGAGUUCUCUUUUCUUUUUAACAACCCGAAGGCCCUGGAAUCGAAUCAUUCGAAGAUAGGGCUCAGAGGUUGGUAAAGCACCGCACUUCUCGCGGUGUCCGGCGCGCCGUUGACGGUCCUUGAAAAUCCGGGGGAGCAUUUCCGAUCUUGCCAA
rnacentral:ncRNA from 1 species